rnacentral:lncRNA from 1 species
UUCAUUACAUCUAACUAUUUCUCAGAAUCGAUGUCAGACAUCAACUCGUCAAAGGUAUUAGAAUCAUCAUCAUGACCCUUAUCUCUCAAAAAAAAUAUUUUCUUAAUUUUCUUCGUAAGCAUACCUAUGUACCUUUUAGGAGGUCGAAAGAUCCUGCUAGAUCUGUGAGGUGGUGAAGGAACAUCAACUACUAGCUCAUGAAUAAUGGGUUCCUAAAGAUCCAUAGCUCUUUGCUCUUAG